UUGGGGAAGGUGCAGGUUGAGGAGUUUGUCUUACAGCUGGGUGGGCAUUGAUGCCAAUUUGAUUAGGAGGAAUUUGUUGAGAGAGUAAGGCCUCUCUGCUUUGCAUUUGUCGUUGAUAAAGUUGUUGCUGCUGUUGCUGUUGUUGUUGCUGCUGCAUUGCAGCCUCUUUUUCUUGUUGAAACGGGAUCCGACUUGAAGGCAUCAUGGGACUAGAGUAUUUCACAGAUCCAGAGCCAUUCCAUGCACCGUUAGAGGCGAAAUCAAAUGAUUGAUUUGGCAAAUUACGUUGAGUUGAUGGAGAUUGUCGGAAGGGCUGUGAAUGAGCCAAAUUGUUAGGCUCAUUCUCGGAAGUAUUCAUCAUGUUUGCAUUUCCAUAUUCUGCUGCAUACAUCCCUUGGCUUGUCGAAAAGCGUUGAGGAUACGCAGGUUGUUCUUCCUGAGUAUUAUAACUUUGACCUUGCGUGGGAUAUGAUACUGCGGUUGGAUAAUCACUCG